GAUGAAGAACGCAGCGAAAUGCGAUAAGUAAUGUGAAUUGCAGAAUUUAGUGAAUCAUCGAAUCUUUGAACGCACAUUGCGCCCGUCAGUAUUCUGGCGGGCAUGCCUGUUCGAGCGUCAUUACGCCCCUCAAGUCCCCUGUGGACUUGGUGUUGGGGAUCGGCGAGGCUGGUUUUCCAGCACAGCCGUCCCUUAAAUUAAUUGGCGGUCUCGCCGUGGCCCUCCUCUGCGCAGUAGUAAAACACUCGCAACAGGAGCCCGGCGCGGUCCACUGCCGUAAAACCCCCCAACUUUUUAUAGUUGACCUCGAAUCAGGUAGGACUACCCGCUGAACUUAAGCAUAUCAAUAAGCGGAGGA
rnacentral:misc_RNA from 1 species